AGUGAACGCUGGCGGUAGGCCUAACACAUGCAAGUCGAACGGCAGCACAGUAAGAGCUUGCUCUUACGGGUGGCGAGUGGCGGACGGGUGAGGAAUACAUCGGAAUCUACUUUUUCGUGGGGGAUAACGUAGGGACACUUACGCUAAUACCGCAUACGACCUACGGGUGAAAGCAGGAGAUCUUCGGACCUUGCGCGAUUGAAUGAGCCGAUGUCGGAUUAGCUAGUUGGCGAGGUAAAGGCCCACCAAGGCGACGAUCCGUAGCUGGUCUGAGAGGAUGAUCAGCCACACUGGAACUGAGACACGGUCCAGACUCCUACGGGAGGCAGCAGUAGGGAAUAUUGGGCAAUGGGCGCAAGCCUGAUGCAGCAAUGCCGCGUGAGUGAAGAAGGCCUUCGGGUUGUAAAGCCCUUUUAUUGGGGAAGAAAAGCAGCGGAAUAAUACCCCGCUGUUCUGACGGUACCCAAAGAAAAAGCACCGGCUAACUUCGUG
rnacentral:rRNA from 1 species